UAAAUCUGUUAUUCUCCAGCUGGAUAGAUCCGCUUGUAAUGAUAACACUGUUAGCGAAUCAUCAUUCACAGCAGGUGAAAAAUUGUGCGAGGUGGUAAAGGUUUUUGUGCUUCUUCAUCAACUCAAGAUCUUCUCGCUUGGUAGGCCCUUGCCAGAUCAGCCUCCUAUCCAUCCUCCUACCGAUAGAUCUGAAACGUCUCGUGCCACAACUACUGGUUUGGAUCUUACAGUUCCCAGACCUGGCACCGAAGUGAAGCUAGGUUAGUACGUGAUGCUCUUAAUUCUUGCAUUUCCAUGAUCGAUUCUCAUGUCUCUCAGUUUGAUUGAUUUGUAUUAUCUAUAAUUAGUUGAAAAUUCCCGGUGCAGUUGAU